rnacentral:rRNA from 1 species
CGGCGGACGGGUGAGUAAUGCCUAGGAAUCUGCCUGGUAGUGGGGGAUAACGUCCGGAAACGGGCGCUAAUACCGCAUACGUCCUACGGGAGAAAGCAGGGGACCUUCGGGCCUUGCGCUAUCAGAUGAGCCUAGGUCGGAUUAGCUAGUUGGUGAGGUAAUGGCUCACCAAGGCGACGAUCCGUAACUGGUCUGAGAGGAUGAUCAGUCACACUGGAACUGAGACACGGUCCAGACUACUACGGGAGGCAGCAGUGGGGAAUAUUGGACAAUGGGCGAAAGCCUGAUCCAGCCAUGCCGCGUGUGUGAAGAAGGUCUUCGGAUUGUAAAGCACUUUAAGUUGGGAGGAAGGGCAUUAACCUAAUACGUUAGUGUUUUGACGUUACCGACAGAAUAAGCACCGGCUAACUUCGUGCCAGCAGCCGCGGUAAUACGAAGGGUGCAAGCGUUAAUCGGAAUUACUGGGCGUAAAGCGCGCGUAGGUGGUUCGUUAAGUUGGAU